CCUACGGGAGGCAGCAGUGGGGAAUAUUGGACAAUGGGCGCAAGCCUGAUCCAGCCAUGCCGCGUGWGUGAUGAAGGCCCUAGGGUUGUAAAGCMCUUUCAACGGUGAAGAUAAUGACGGUAACCGUAGAAGAAGCCCCGGCUAACUUCGUGCCAGCAGCCGCGGUAAUACGAAGGGGGCUAGCGUUGUUCGGAAUUACUGGGCGUAAAGCGCACGUAGGCGGAUUGGAAAGCCAGAGGUGAAAUCCCAGGGCUCAACCCUGGAACUGCCUUUAAAACUAUCAGUCUAGAGUUCGAGAGAGGUGAGUGGAAUUCCGAGUGUAGAGGUGAAAUUCGUAGAUAUUCGGAGGAACACCAGUGGCGAAGGCGGCUCACUGGCUCGAUACUGACGCUGAGGUGCGAAAGUGUGGGG
rnacentral:rRNA from 1 species